CUGUGAACACAAUUUUUUUUUCUUGCAGCUUGCAGAAUUUCAGCCUCUUAUAGAGGAGCCCAAGAAUGUGGUAAAAUCUAACUGUGAGCUUUAUGAGAAGCUUGGAGAGUAUGGAUUCCAAAACGCCAUUCUGAUUCGGUAUACCCAGAAAGCACCUCAGGUGUCAACCCCAACUCUUGUGGAGGCUGCAAG